rnacentral:lncRNA from 1 species
UUCUAACUUAAUUACCUACUAAUAACCUACAUGAAUAAGAUUCAUGAGACUCCAAUUAUUGGGUGUCUAAGGUUAUGAAUCAUAUAAAUUAAGGGUGCAAGUCCCUAAUUAAUUUUCUUGAUAAUUAUUCUUGGGCGCCACCUUGAUUUGAUCAAGUUGGGCAUGUCUAUUGAUUAAAGAGUUUUUAGUUCUCCUAUGGGGCGUCUCUUGGAUGUAUUUUGGGGUGUCUAAUUAUGGGUGCAAGGGCUCUAAUUAUUGGCGCCUAAAGGGUCUCCUAAAGUAAAUUGGAUAACUU